CUAGGUGGCGCUCUCCCUGAUGUCAAAUAUGGCAGUUGAAAUAUGUUCAGGGGUGGAGCCUUAUCAUAUGUGUCCACUUUGGUCAAGGUCGGACAAUGUAUGACAGAACGAGAGGCAAUAAGAUUUUCAUGGCGAGUCAUCGAAAUUCGCCGUGGCGCCACGGCCUCACAGUAACCCGAAAACUCAAAAGCUCCGCAAUUUAACAUGGCCCAGGGGUGUAGUUGACACUGACCAAAUAUGAAGCUUGUACGAUGAAAUUCCAAUGAGGAGUUCGCAAAAGUUCGAGGCAUGGAAAUGGCAAAAUUAGAGCCAAA
ensembl:lncRNA